rnacentral:rRNA from 1 species
AGUGAACGCUGGCGGUAGGCCUAACACAUGCAAGUCGAACGGCAGCACAGUAAGAGCUUGCUCUUACGGGUGGCGAGUGGCGGACGGGUGAGGAAUACAUCGGAAUCUAUUUUUUCGUGGGGGAUAACGUAGGGAAACUUACGCUAAUACUGCAUACGACCUACGGGUGAAAGCAGGGGAUCUUCGGACCUUGCGCGAUUGAAUGAGCCGAUGUCGGAUUAGCUAGUUGGCGGGGUAAAGGCCCACCAAGGCGACGAUCCGUAGCUGGUCUGAGAGGAUGAUCAGCCACACUGGAACUGAGACACGGUCCAGACUCCUACGGGAGGCAGCAGUGGGGAAUAUUGGACAAUGGGCGCAAGCCUGAUCCAGCCAUACCGCGUGGGUGAAGAAGGCCUUCGGGUUGUAAAGCCCUUUUGUUGGGAAAGAAAAGCAGCAGGUUAAUACCCCGCUGUUCUGACGGUACCCAAAGAAUAAGCACCGGCUAACUUCGUG